GGAGCCCGCGGUGCGCCGGAUCCCCGCGCGCUGCGAGUCCCCUGGGCAGGUCCCGGUGCGCGGCUGGCGGGACGCUGGAGGCUCGGGAAGCAGUGUGCCUGGACUCUGAAAGGAGGAUGAUAUUGUCUUUCCCUUCCUGGAAAUAGGGCUAAUUGCAAUGCUCUGUCCCGGUUUCCCGUGCCACCCGCCCUGCGAUCGUCCUGACAACUCUCUAGCUAACAAGCCUCAAGAAUGGAGGUGGGGAGAGGAGUGGAAAAACUGGAGAAGACAGAACGAUGAUGUACUUGACCCACCAGCAAGCAAAGCAUUCAGCAGCCCAGGCCUGAAGUCUCUGCAGGGUCCCUGAGCAAAGCAUUUGCUUUACCGGUUGGUUCUAAGAACUCCUCUGCUGACUCAGCUCCUGGAAUGUAAAUAUCACAGAAAUGAUGGGGGGGAAAAACAGCUAAUUUGAAACUGUGGCUAGAGAUCUAAAAGAAAAAAAUGCUUCCUACCGACACUUUCAUGUUCAGAACCUUUUGAUUAAAAAUCACCUUAUCAGA